rnacentral:rRNA from 1 species
AUGGCGUCGUACCGCUGCUGGACAAGCCUUCGUUGGUCGUCGCCGGCAGAGCCGCACGCUGCUGCCGAUUCAGUCCACGUAAUCACCGCCCUUAAAUUGAUUCUUGCUGCAGAUGAAUCGAGCCCCGCGCCCCGAUGUCCACCAAAGCUCCCGAUGAGUCACAUGCGCCACCAUCGGCUUCCUCCUCCAACAUCACCUGCACCAAAGGAAGCCUUUUUCAGAAGAACAUCCCUGCUCCGUCUCCAGGCACCUUCUCUAUGGCCGCAAGUUCCGCAAGUUUCUCUCACCUACGAUUCCUCUCUAACUGAAGCACGAUCCGCAAGAAUGUGUCAACAUCCGAUGGAUCAUGAUGAUCUCUCUGAUCCGGUUGGUUUUGAUCGGAAACGAUAG